AUUUUGAAGGGUGCCGCCGUAAGUAAUCUGUAUUGGCUCUGGAACUCAACAUGAGCGUGCAUUUUUGGACUCGGUGUGACGUUCAAGGUAAGAUCUUUGUUUUUUGGUACCAGGGAUGGAACUCAGGGGCACUCAACCACUGAGCCCUAUCCCCAGCCAUCUUUUGUAUUUUAUUUAGAGACAGGGUCUCACUGUGGUUGUAGAAUUUCUGGAGAGACAUCCCGUGAUCUGGAGACUCCCGUAGUUACUGUAAAAAUCUAGGCUGUCCACUGUCCACCGUCACUGAACCAACCCCCAGUCUGUUCAGGACAAGCCCUUUGGCCUUGGAUGGGACAUCUACCCCUCCAUGGUAAAGCCGAGAGUUGGGGAAUGAGAAUGUGCAGAGCCGUGGGUAAUGCUGGACAGGUUCCAAGGGACAAUGGACAUCGUGGAUGCAGCCGUGCAGCAGCCAGUCUUGUCACUGUGACUUUGACGGAGGAAGUAGACAUAGAGGAGGUGAAUAUUGCUCCUACCUACACCAAACCUCUCACAGCCUGGACUAGGGGUUCUCAACGUGGGGCCCUUGGGCAAAUGCCGUCAGCACCCUCUGCAGAUUCUUAGCCCCCUCGAGGCCGUGCUGGAUCUGCUGGUGGGGUCUAGCAUUCAUGGUCGCCAAGGGUUCGGAGGCAUGGUCCAGUUGGAGAUUCCCGGCUCUGAGCUAGAGGUCAGCAGCCUGCUCUGUGAAGGCCACAUGGUGACUGUGACGGGUUAUGAGGCAGGAUGCUCUCCAGCCACACCGCUCAGCCACGCUGUGUCGGCCUGAAAGUGGCCUGGGGCGACACCCCAGUGACUCGUGUGGCGGUGUUUCCAGCCAGACUUUUAUUUACCAGUAGAAAGCAGCUGGAUUUGGUCAUUGAGACGGGUUUCUGACCCCUAGGCUAAAAGCCUGCUUCCUCAUUUCAGACCAACCGGGCUUUCUUUCCGUAAGUUUAUCUGAGAGGGUGGAUGCACACGUGUAUGAAGACUCUCUUAAAAUCGCGUAUUUUUCUGGUACAGGUUGAAAGACUGAAUGUUCAUUAUGUGCAUUUGAAAGGCUGUUAUUUGUAAAUAGAAAGAGAUGCUUGGGAUAAUAUUAGUUCAGGGAGAGACAUGCUCACUUGAAUAAAAUGUGAUCAUUCACUUUAGAUGCCGUACCUAAUGCCCAAGGAGCAAAAUCUUUCCUCACUUUUCACUGUGUAUUUUAAAACCUUGAUUGCAUACCGUAAUGCUUGUGUAACGCUAGGUGGAUUUGGAUGGCUCUCAUAAGCACUGGGGAAUGUCAUAUAUACUAUUGCCCUGGCCAUACUAAGUAAAUGCAGUGGCUCAUUGGAGACGUCACAUUUGUGCAUGUGUGAUAUGCGGUGAAUAAAAACUAUUUUCUAUUUUCACCCACAUCUUAAAGUAAAUAAGAAACAUUUUAAGGCUUAUUACUUAUUCAUAAAGGAAAAUUAUUUCCUAAUCCUCUAGCUUGACAGAGCCCAAGAUUUUUAUUAAAUAAAUUUUGAAUAUCUUACACCACCCAUGUUAUUCUUUACUAAAAACAAAAUUGCUAUAAAUGGAUUUAUCACGAAAGCAAUGUCUCAAUUUAGGAGAAAGUCUUUGAAAUGUCCUUAAACAGACAAGCUCUAUUCAAUUGCUUUAAAAUGUGGUUAAAAAUCGCACCUUUGAUACAGCUGGAAAAAGUUUAUACUGUAUAUAGAGAGAGAUGGUAUAAUUUCCUUGGUUGAUGGAUCCACUUUAUAAGUUUUUUCUACAAAAUGACUAUAAAAGCACAUUUGAUUUUAGAAAAACUUUUAUAGGCAUUAAACCCCCUAAAGGAAAUUAGCUCCAAUCCUAUUGCCCCAUAAUUUGAAAAUGGUUCUUCUUGAGUCGUUCUUAAUUACAUUCUUGUCACAGUCUCUGAAUUUGUCUCUGUUGGGCUUUUUGUAAGAAUGCACGCUGUUUACUUCUGUCUUUCAAUAUAGUUUGCAUUUUAAAAUUAUUUUGGAAAUGGUAUAAUCCAUAGAGAACUAGUCCAACAUUUAGCCAUUCAGGUAACAGAAGAGUCUGGUAGCCUCCUGAGGGCUAGGCAUGGUAUUAGUCCAGGCGACAAAGACAAAUAUGGCGCCCCCAGACACCUACAUCAUGGUCCCUGUAGGGGCCUGUGCCUAGUCUCCCAGGUCAACCCAGGAGGAGCUGUCCUGGAAAGAAUCACCAUCUCAGGGAACACCAAAAUCAAUUCCCAGAGUAGCCCAUGACUAGGUAAGAAGCAUACUGCAGGCAACAACAGCCUUGCCCAGGUGGUGAAUUGUUAAAAUCUGCAAAGGACUAUUGCACCAUUUUGUGCAAACCCAAUUUAGUACUACCCACAAGGAGAAGGGUUUGGCUGUUUCUAGUGAUUUAAAACAUUGAUUAUUUGAUAGUGAGCCUUGCCCCAGCUAGUCUAAUUUGGGGAGUUUCUCCUGUAGACACACAUGCACUUGU
rnacentral:lncRNA from 1 species